rfam:Methanobacteriaceae archaeon 41_258 PW_scaffold_627, whole genome shotgun sequence.
CAUGGGGCUAGACCGGAGGGUUAGGGGUCCUCUGUAAGCGCAAAUCCCCUAUAUGGCGCGGUCGAAGUCCAAGAGGCGGCAGUCUAACUAGUUGCUAGCCCAGGUGUCUAGUGUGGAAGCCUCGUCCCGCAGGAUCAGCGGUGAUAGGGCCCCGGCUGGAGGGCUGGGGUGAACUAUCUUAACCACGGGAACCGGGUCAGGCCUGGAAAGGAGCAGCCCUACCGUGGACAGCUGAUGCUUGCGGGUCAGCGGGGUGGAGCUGGACACUUGGACCACUAGUAGCUAGGAGGACUGUCCACUCUUGGACAAGCCCCCUC